GACGAACGCUGGCGGCGUGCUUAACACAUGCAAGUCGUACGGUAAGGCCCUUUCGGGGGUACACGAGUGGGGAAAGGGGGAGUAACACGUAAGUAACCUGCCCACAACUUUGGGAUAACGCCAGGAAACUGGGGCUAAUACUGGCAAUGUGCUCCUGCUGCAUGGUGGGGGUUGGAAAGAUCCGGCGGUGGUGGAUGGACUCGGGGCCUAUCAGCUUGUUGGUGGGGUAGUGGCCUACCAAGGCGGCGACGGGUAGCCGGCCUGAGAGGGUGACCGGCCACAUUGACACUGAGGGAAGGCCCAGGCGCGGACGUUAGGCAACAGGGGGAAAGCUUGCACAAGGAGCGCCAGCCGGGUGCAGCAGGGCUUCGGGCGGUAUAACGGCUUUGGGGUGGAAAACCGCGUUCAGGAGGGACCAAGCGUUUGGUGACGGUACCUGCAGAAGAAGCACCGGCUAACUACGUG
rnacentral:rRNA from 1 species